AGAAAAGUUGGAAGCCUAUACGAACCAAAGACGCCUCACCAUGGAUCUAUUGUCGGUGCUAAAGGUGGAGGAAAACAAAGCUCUCUUAUUGGUUAGCAAGCACCCAUAGGCGUCUGUAAGGAUCCCAAGAUGUUACAUUCUCCUCUCUCUUCCCAAAGUAAACCCACACCGCUAAGCAAAUCCAUACUACCCAUCAAUGUGAACCACUGAACAAUGGCUCCACAAUAUCCCCCGCAUGCAACAACUAUAGGGCAAAACAUAAUAGAAAUAAGAACAACCGGAGCUAUCACAGCAAAUCCUCUUUGAUUUUCUACUAGUUGUG
rnacentral:misc_RNA from 1 species